rnacentral:lncRNA from 1 species
UAUGCUGUUUAUCCAUUUCUGUCCAGUAUACCACAGCUUUUUAUCGCAGCCAUUAAUCUCUGUGGCAGUGGGAGAACAUUUUCAAGUGCUUAUUGAAAAUGUCAGUAUAUUUCACUCCGCUGAAUUUCUUGUGUGCAGGAUGGCAAGGAACACAAAACAGGCCUUCAAAUCUCUACCUAAGAAUGCUUAACAGCAUUUGAUUGUGAACCACAUACUGUUGACCAUUGGAUUCAGCUCAUUUUGAUCAAGAGCUCAGGAGAGCUUUACUUUUUUGAACUGUUUAUUCACCCAUAUCAGAACCCAAGGAUGAAGGGUGCAAAAUCUAUUGAAGCCAGGCCUUUUUGCAUGUGUAGCUCUCUUGCUUUGCACACAAGUUUAUUUGAUCCAGCUUAGCUUCAUGGAAACAUAUUAGUCUGCUAUGAAUGAAACUAAUGUGUGAUUUUUUUACAUAUUCCUACAUUCAGUCCCAGGUGCCCACUUUAAAGCUUGCAUGGGGCUGUAGUUUCAGAUUUAGAUAUACAGAUUUCAUGCUUACUGGGCAUGAAAAUAAAUGAUUUAAAUACUACUACGAUCUUCCUUUA